CAGCCCCUCGAGUGGUGGGGAUGAUUAUUUGGCCUGAAGCGUCCGUAGCCGGCCGAGUAAGUCCCCCGUUAAAUCCAGCGUCUCAAGCGUUGGACUGCGGGAGAUACUACUUGGCUAGAGAGUGGGAGAGGUGUGCGGUAUUCUGGGGGUAGGGGCGAAAUCCUUUGAUCCCCGGAGGACCACCAGUGGCGAAGGCUGCACACUAGAACACGUCUGACGGUCAGGGACGAAAGCUGGGGUAGCGAACCGGAUUAGAUACCCGAGUAGUCC
rnacentral:rRNA from 1 species